rnacentral:rRNA from 1 species
CAGCAGCCGCGGUAAUACGGAGGGAGCUAGCGUUGUUCGGAAUUACUGGGCGUAAAGCGCGCGUAGGCGGUUACUCAAGUCAGAGGUGAAAGCCCGGGGCUCAACCCCGGAACUGCCUUUGAAACUAGGUGACUAGAAUCUUGGAGAGGUCAGUGGAAUUCCGAGUGUAGAGGUGAAAUUCGUAGAUAUUCGGAAGAACACCAGUGGCGAAGGCGACUGACUGGACAAGUAUUGACGCUGAGGUGCGAAAGCGUGGGGAGCAAACAGGAUUAGAUACCCGAGUAGUCCCUGUCUCUUAUAA